GUUAUACUCCCUCCGUCCCGAAUUACUUGUCACAGAAAUGGAUGUAUCUAGACGUAUUUUUAGUUCUAGAUACAUCCAUUUCUGCGACAAGUAAUUCGGGACGGAAGGAGUACCUG
rnacentral:pre_miRNA from 1 species